rnacentral:tRNA from 1 species
GCCCGGUUGGCUCAGCGGUUUAGCGCCUGCCUUUGGCCCAGGGUCCUGGGAUUGAAUCCCACAUCGGGCU